AGAGUUUGAUCCUGGCUCAGGAUGAACGCUAGCGGCAGGCUUAACACAUGCAAGUCGAGGGGCAGCAUAAUGGAUAGCAAUAUCUAUGGUGGCGACCGGCGCACGGGUGCGUAACGCGUAUGCAACCUACCUUUAACAGGGGGAUAACACUGAGAAAUUGGUACUAAUACCCCAUAAUAUCAUAGAAGGCAUCUUUUAUGGUUGAAAAUUCCGAUGGUUAGAGAUGGGCAUGCGUUGUAUUAGCUAGUUGGUGGGGUAACGGCUCACCAAGGCGACGAUACAUAGGGGGACUGAGAGGUUAACCCCCCACACUGGUACUGAGACACGGACCAGACUCCUACGGGAGGCAGCAGUGAGGAAUAUUGGUCAAUGGACGCAAGUCUGAACCAGCCAUGCCGCGUGCAGGAAGACGGCUCUAUGAGUUGUAAACUGCUUUUGUACGAGGGUAAACGCAGAUACGUGUAUCUGUCUGAAAGUAUCGUACGAAUAAGGAUCGGCUAACUCCGUGCCAGCAGCCGCGGUAAUACGGAGGAUCCAAGCGUUAUCCGGAUUUAUUGGGUUUAAAGGGUGCGUAGGCGGUUUGAUAAGUUAGAGGUGAAAUUUCGGGGCUCAACCCCGAACGUGCCUCUAAUACUGUUGAGCUAGAGAGUAGUUGCGGUAGGCGGAAUGUAUGGUGUAGCGGUGAAAUGCUUAGAGAUCAUACAGAACACCGAUUGCGAAGGCAGCUUACCAAACUAUAUCUGACGUUGAGGCACGAAAGCGUGGGGAGCAAACAGGAUUAGAUACCCUGGUAGUCCACGCAGUAAACGAUGAUAACUCGUUGUCGGCGAUACACAGUCGGUGACUAAGCGAAAGCGAUAAGUUAUCCACCUGGGGAGUACGUUCGCAAGAAUGAAACUCAAAGGAAUUGACGGGGGCCCGCACAAGCGGAGGAACAUGUG
rnacentral:rRNA from 1 species